ensembl:snRNA U1 U1 spliceosomal RNA
AUACGUGCCUGGCAGGGGAGAUACCAUAAUCAUGAAGGUGGUUUUCCCGGGUUGAGGCUUUCCCAGGUUGUGCUGACCCCUGUGAUUUCUCCAAAUGUGGGAAGCUCAACUGCAUAAUAUGUGGUAGUGGGGGACUUGUGUUUGCACUUUCCCUUG